CAUUUAAGCAAAAAUCACCCAUUUCCUCUUCGAAAAUCCCACAUUUAAGGGUAAAUCAUGCAUUUUCUCUUCGAAAAUCCAACAUUUAGCUAAAAAAUCACGCGUUUAAGCGAAAAUCACCCGUUCUCUCUUCAAAAAUCUCCCAUUUAACCCCAAAAUCACCCAUUUUCUCUUCAAAAUUCCCACAUUUAACCCGAAAAUCACCCAUUUUCCUUUCAAAAAUCUCCAAUUAUUUGGACAAACACACAUUUGCUCCUCAAAAACCCCCCAUUUAAGGGUAAAUCAAACAUUUUCUCGACAAAAAUGCCCCAUUUAACAAACACAUCAUGCAUUUAAGCAAAUAUCACGCAUUUUCCCUUCGAAAAUCCCCCAUUUUACCCCAAAAUCACACAUUUUCUCUUCGAAAAUCCCCCAUUUAAGGGUAAAUCAUGCAUUUUCUCUUCGAAAAUCCCACAUUUAAGGGUAAAUCAUGCAUUUUCUCUUCGAAAAUCCCCCAUUUAAGGGUAAAUCAUGCAUUUUAUUUCUGAAAAUCUGCCAUUUAAGGGUAAAUCAUGCAUUUUCUCUUCAAAAAUCCCCCAAUUAUCCCAAAAAAUCACACAUUUAAGCGAAAAUCACCCGUUCUCUCUUCGAAAAUCCCCCAUUUGACAAAAAAACAUCAUGCAUUUAAGCGAAAAUCAAACAUUUUCUCUUCGAAAAUGCCCCAUUUCAGCAAAAAACACGCAUUUUCUCCUCGAAAAUCCCCCAUUUAUCUCAAAAAUCACGCAUGUAAGCGAAAAUCCUUCAUUUUCUUUUCGAAAAUGCUCCCUUUAAGCAAAAUUCACCCAUUUUCCCUUCAAAAAUCCCAGAUUUAUCUCAAAAAUCACCCGUUUUCCCGACGAAAAUGCCCCAUUUAAGCAAAAAUCACCCAUUUUCUCUUCGAAAAUCCCACAUUUUCAUGAAAAUCAACCCUUUUCUCUUCAGAAAUCCCCCAUUUAAGUGAAAAUCACCCCUUUUCUCUUCGAAAACCUCCCAUUUUACCCCAAAAUCACACAUUUUCUCCUCGAAAAUCCCCCAUUUAAGGGUAAAUCAUGCAUUUUCUCUUCGAAAAUCCAACAUUUAGCUAAAAAAUCACGCGUUUAAGCGAAAAUCACCCGUUCUCUCUUCAAAAAUCUCCCAUUUAACCCCAAAAUCACCCAUUUUCUCUUCAAAAUUCCCACAUUUAACCCGAAAAUCACCCAUUUUCCUUUCAAAAAUCCCCAAUUAUUUGUAAAAUCACGCAUUUUCUCCUCAAAAACCCCCCAUUUAAGGGUAAAUCAUGCAUUUUCUCCUCAAAAAUCCCCCAUUUAACAAAAAAAUCAUGCAUUUAAGCAAAAAUCACGCAUUUUCUCUUCGAAAAUCCGCCAUUUUACCCCAAAAUCACGCAUUUUCUCUUCAAAAAUCCGACAUUUAAGUGAAAAUCAACCCUUUUCUUUUCAAAAAUCCCCCAUUUAACCCAAAAAUCACCCCUUUUCUCCUCAAAAACCCCCUUUUUACCCCAAAAUCACGCAUUUUCUCCUCAAAAAUACCCCAUUUAAGGGUAAAUCAUGCAUUUUCUCUUCGAAAAUCCCCCAAUUAUCCCAAAAAAUCACACAUUUAAGCGUAAAUCACCCGUUUUCUCUUCGAAAAUCCCCCAUUUAACCCGAAAAUCACCCAUUUUCCUUCAAAAAUCACCAAUUAUUGGGAAAAUCACGCAUUUUCUCCUCAAAAACCCCCCAUUUAAAGGUAAAUCAUGCAUUUUCUCGACAAAAUGCCCCAUUUAACAAAAACAUCAUGCAUUUAAGCAAAAAUCACGCAUUUUCCCUUCGAAAAUCCCCCAUUUAACCCCAAAAUCACACAUUUUCUCCUUGAAAAUCACCCAUUGAAGGGUAAAUCAUGCAUUUUCUCUUCGAAAAUCCCCCAUUUAAGGGUAAAUCAUGCAUUUUCUCCUCAAAAAUCCUCCAUUGAACUAAAUAACUAUGCACUUAAGCGAAAAUCAAAAAUUUUCUCUUUGAAAAUCCCCCAUUUAAGGGUAUAUCAUGCAUUUUAUUUCUGAAAAUCUGCCAUUUAAGGGUAAAUCAUGCAUUUUCUCUUCGAAAAUCCAACAUUUAGCUAAAAAAUCACGCGUUUAAGCGAAAAUCACCCGUUUUCUAUUCAAAAAUCCCCCAUUUUACCCAAAAAUCACCCCUUUUCUCCUCAAAAAUCCCCCUUUUUACCCCAAAAUCACGCAUUUUCUCCUCAAAAAUCCCCCAUUUAAGGGUAAAUCGUGCAUUUUCUCUUCAAAAAUCCCCCAAUUAUCCCAAAAAAUCACACAUUUAAGCGAAAAUCACCCGUUCUCUCUUCGAAAAUCCCCCAUUUAACAAAAAAACAUCAUGCAUUUAAGCGAAAAUCAAACAUUUUCUCUUCGAAAAUGCCCCAUUUCAGCAAAAAACACGCAUUUUCUCCUCGAAAAUCCCCCAUUUAUCUCAAAAAUCACGCAUGUAAGCGAAAAUCCUUCAUUUUCUUUUCGAAAAUGCUCCCUUUAAGCAAAAUUCACCCAUUUUCCCUUCAAAAAUCCCAGAUUUAUCUCAAAAAUCACCCGUUAUCCCGACAAAAAUGCCCCAUUUAAGCAAAAAUCACCCAUUUUCUCUUCGAAAAUCCCACAUUUUCGUGAAAAUCAACACUUUUCUCUUCAGAAAAUCCCCCAUUUAAGUGAAAAUCACACAUUUUCUCUUCGAAAACCUCCCAUUUUACUCCAAAAUCACACAUUUUCUCCUCGAAAAUCCCCCAUUUAAGGGUAAAUCAUGCAUUUUCUCUUCGAAAAUCCAACAUUUAGCUAAAAAAUCACGCAUUUAAGCGAAAAUCACCCGUUCUCUCUUCAAAAAUCUCCCAUUUAACCCCAAAAUCACCCAUUUUCUCUUCAAAAUUCCCACAUUUAACCCGAAAAUCACCCAUUUCCCCUUCAAAAAUCUCCAAUUAUUUGGACAAUCACACAUUUUCUCCUCAAAAACCCCCCAUUUAAGGGUAAAUCAUGCAUUUUCUCCUCAAAAAUCCCACAUUUAACAAAAAAGAUCAUACAUUUAAGCCAAAAAUCACGCAUUUUCUCUUCGAAAACCUCCCAUUUUACCCCCAAAUCACACAUUUUCUCCUCGAAAAUCCCCCAUUUAAGGGUAAAUCAUGCAUUUUCUCUCCGAAAAUCCAACAUUUAGCUAAAAAAUCACGCAUUUAAGCAAAAAUCACCCGUUUUCUCUUUGAAAAUCUCCCAUUUAACCCCAAAAUCACCCAUUUUCUCUUCAAAAUUCCCACAUUUAAUCCGAAAAUCACCCAUUUUCCCUUCAAAAAUCCCCAAUUAUUUGGAAAAUCACGCAUUUUCUCCUCAAAAACCCCCCAUUUAAGGGUAAAUCAUGCAUUUUCUCCUCAAAAAUCCCCCAUUUAACAAAAAAAUCAUGCAUUUAAGCAAAAAUCACCCAUUUUCUCUUCGAAAAUCCGCCAUUUUACCCCAAAAUCACCCAUUUUCUCUUCGAAAAUCCGACAUUUAAGUGAAAAUCAACCCUUUUCUUUUCAAAAAUCCCCCAUUUAACCCAAAAAUCACCCCUUUUCUCCUCGAAAAUCCCCCUUUUUACCCCAAAAUCACGCAUUUUCUCCUCAAAAAUCCCCCAUUUAAGGGUAAAUCGUGCAUUUUCUCUUCAAAAAUCCCCCAAUUAUCCCAAAAAAUCACACAUUUAAGCGAAAAUCACCCGUUCUCUCUUCGAAAAUCCCCCAUUUAACAAAAAAACAUCAUGCAUUUAAGCGAAAAUCAAACAUUUUCUCUUCGAAAAUGCCCCAUUUCAGCAAAAAACACGCAUUUUCUCCUCGAAAAUCCCCC
ensembl:lncRNA